GCGAGUGAAGCGGCAAAAGCUCAAAUUUGAAAUCUGGUACCUUUGGUGCCCGAGUUGUAAUUUGAAGAUAGUUUUCUGGUGCUGGCCCUUGUCUAUGUUCCUUGUCUCCGGAUGUCACAUAGGAAGAGAAUCCCGUCUGGCGGGGUGUCCAGUGCUUUGUAGAUUUCUAUCGACGAGUCGAGUUGUUUGGGAAUGCAGCUCUAAGUGGGUGGUAAAUUCCAUCUAAAGCUAAAUAUUGGCGAGAGACCGAUAGCGAACAAGUACAGUGAUGGAAAGAUGAAAAGAACUUUGAAAAGAGAGUGAAAAAGUACGUGAAAUUGUUGAAAGGGAAGGGUAUUAGAUCAGACUUGGUGUUUUGUGAUUAUCUUCCCUUCUUGGGUUGUGCACUCGCAUUUCACUGGGCCAGCAUCGGUUCGGGUGGUAAGAUAAUGACAUUGGAACGUGGCACUACCUUCGGGUGGUGUGUUAUAGCCCUUGUUGAUGUUGCCUACCUGGACCGAGGACUGCGGCUUUUGCCUAGGAUGCUGGCGUAAUGAUCUAACACCGCCC
rnacentral:rRNA from 1 species